AUUGAACGCUGGCGGAAUGCUUUACACAUGCAAGUCGAACGGUAGAGGGGGCAACCCCUUGAGAGUGGCGAACGGGUGAGUAAUAUAUCGGAACGUGCCCAGUCGUGGGGGAUAACGUAGCGAAAGUUACGCUAAUACCGCAUACGAUCUACGGAUGAAAGCGGGGGACUCGUAAGAGCCUCGCGCGAUUGGAGCGGCCGAUAUCAGAUUAGGUAGUUGGUGGGGUAAUGGCCUACCAAGGCGACGAUCAGUAGCUGGUCUGAGAGGACGACCAGCCACACUGGAACUGAGACACGGUCCAGACUCCUACGGGAGGCAGCAGUGGGGAAUUUUGGACAAUGGGCGCAAGCCUGAUCCAGCCAUUCCGCGUGAGUGAAGAAGGCCUC
rnacentral:rRNA from 1 species